AAUUUUUGACCAUGGGGGCAACCCUGAUCCAGCCAUCCCGCGUGUGCGAUGAAGGNCUNNGGGUUNUNAAGCACUUUUGGCAGNNNNNAAACGGCACGGACUAUUAGCCUGUGAAACUGACGGUACCUGCAGACUAAGCCCCGGCUAACUACGUGCCAGCGGCCGCGGUUACACGUAGGGUGCAAGGGUUAAUCGGAAUUACUGGGCGUAAAGCGUGCGCAGGCGGUUCGGAAAGAAGGAUGUGAAAUCCCAGGGCUUAACCUUGGAACUGCAUUUUUAACUACCGGGCUAGAGUGUGUCAGAGGGAGGUGGAAUUCCGCGUGUAGCAGUGAAAUGCGUAGAUAUGCGGAGGAACACCGAUGGCGAAGGCAGCCUCCUGGGAUAACACUGACGCUCAUGCACGAAAGCGUGGGGAGCAAACAGG
rnacentral:rRNA from 1 species